rnacentral:sRNA from 1 species
CCGAGACAGCGCCGGGGCGGUGGGUACGAUGGAGAAUUUCACGGCACUGUUUGGGGCUCAGGCUGACCCACCACCGCCCCCAACCGCACUCGGCUUCGGACCAGGAAAGCCUCCACCCCCGCCACCGCCUCCUGCGGGCGGGGGACCCGGCACGGCCCCGCCUCCCGCCGCGGCCACGGCCCCUCCUGGCGCGGACAAGUCAGGAGCUGGCUGUGGCCCUUUUUACCUCAUGAGGGAACUGCCAGGUAGCACAGAGCUGACAGGCAGCACGAAUCUGAUCACACACUACAACUUGGAACAAGCCUAUAAUAAAUUCUGUGGGAAGAAGGUGAAGGAGAAGCUAAGUAACUUCCUGCCUGACCUGCCAGGGAUGAUUGAUCUGCCUGGUUCCCAUGAUAACAGCAGCCUCCGCUCUCUCAUUGAGAAGCCCCCUAUUCUCAGUAGCUCUUUUAAUCCUAUCACAGGGACCAUGCUGGCCGGCUUCCGCCUCCACACUGGCCCGUUGCCGGAGCAGUGUCGUCUGAUGCAUAUUCAGCCUCCCAAGAAGAAGAAUAAGCACAAGCACAAACAGAGCCGUACCCAGGAUCCUGUCCCCCCAGGUAAGAAGCAGUUCUAUUCAAAGCAAAAAAAAAAAAAACAAACCUGACCUUCUGAAUCUGGUUUGAACUUCCAUAGGUAAACCCAGUUAAGUUCCGUAUGGAGCUCUGGACUCCUAAAUUCCCCUGAAGAAGAAACCAAUGUACUGUGGUCUCUUGGGACUUGGGACAGGGACUCUAGCAGCACCUCUGUAUCCUUUCUGGCCAUUUGGACAAAAGCAGUUGCCCCGACUUGGGAUUUUCCUGUAGUCUUCAGUGGUUCAUAACAGUAGAGGAUUUUGAGCUUUACAGGUGAUAGGUACCUAAUGUCUCCUACAGAAACACCAUCUGAUUCAGAUCACAAGAAGAAGAAAAAGAAAAAAGAAGAGGAUCCUGAACGGAAAAGGAAGAAGAAAGAGAAGAAGAAAAAGAAGGUAGAGUAGAGGCCUAUUGCCACAACCCAGUGAGUUUCCCCAGAUCUCACCCCUGUCCUAAAUACCCUAGAG